CGGGAAGCCACCUGGCGACAGGGAGCGGAACCCGAAAGCCUGUCUCAGUUCGGAUCGGAGUCUGCAACCCGACUCCGUGAAGCUGGAUUCGCUAGUAAUCGCGCAUCAGCCAUGGCGCGGUGAAUACGUUCCCGGGCCUUGUACACACCGCCCGUCAAGCCAUGGGAGCCGAGGGCGCUUGAAGUGCGUCGCCGCGAGGCGCGCCCUAGAGCGAAAUCGGUGACUGGGGCUAAGUCGUAACAAGGUAAC
rnacentral:rRNA from 1 species